rnacentral:tRNA from 3 species
GUCCCCGUAGCUCAGCUGGAUAGAGCGUCAGAUUGCGGAUCUGAAGGCCGGGUGUUCGAAUCACCCCGGGGACACCA